rnacentral:rRNA from 1 species
AGUAACACGUAUCCAACCUGCCGUCUACUCUUGGACAGCCUUCUGAAAGGAAGAUUAAUACAAGAUGGCAUCAUGAGUUCACAUGUUCACAUGAUUAAAGGUAUUCCGGUAGACGAUGGGGAUGCGUUCCAUUAGAUAGUAGGCGGGGUAACGGCCCACCUAGGCGACGAUCAGUAGCCGGACUGAGAGGUUGACCGGCCACAUUGGGACUGAGACACGGUCCAA